CUGCGAGUGAAGCGGGAAAGCUCAAUUUAAAAUCUGGCGGUCUCCGGCCGUAGUGUCUAAUUUAGAGAAGCGUUAUCCGUGCUGGACCGCGUAUAAGUCUCCUGGAAUGGAGCGUCAUAGAGGGUGAGAAUCCCGUCUUUGACACGGACUACCAGUGCAUUGUGAUGCGCUCUCGACGAGUCGAGUUGUUUGGGAAUGCAGCUCAAAAUGGGUGGUAAAUGCCAUCUAAAGCUAAAUAUUGGCGAGAGACCGAUAGCGAACAAGUACCGUGAGGGAAAGAUGAAAAGAACUUUGGAAAGAGAGUUAAACAGUACGUGAAAUUGUCGAAAGGGAAACGGUUGCAGUCAGUCGCGUCCGCCGGGGAUCAACCUUGCUUUUGCUUGGCGUAUUUCCCGGUGGAUGGGUCAGCAUCAGUUUUGACCGCAGUUGAAAGGCUGGAGGAAUGUGGCACCUUCGGGUGUGUUAUAGCCUCCUGUCAUAUGCUGCGGUUGGGACUGAGGAACUCAGCACGCCGCAAGGCCGGGAUUCGUCCACGUUCGUGCUUAGGAUGCUGGCAUAAUGUCUGUAACCGACCCGUCUU
rnacentral:rRNA from 1 species